rnacentral:rRNA from 1 species
UGGGGAAUAUUGGACAAUGGGCGCAAGCCUGAUCCAGCCAUGCCGCGUGUGUGAAGAAGGCCUUUUGGUUGUAAAGCACUUUAAGCGAGGAGGAGGCUACUUGGAUUAAUACUCUAAGAUAGUGGACGUUACUCGCAGAAUAAGCACCGGCUAACUCUGUGCCAGCAGCCGCGGUAAUACAGAGGGUGCGAGCGUUAAUCGGAUUUACUGGGCGUAAAGCGUGCGUAGGCGGCUUCUUAAGUCGGAUGUGAAAUCCCUGAGCUUAACUGAGGAAUUGCAUUCGAUACUGGGAAGCUAGAGUAUGGGAGAGGAUGGUAGAAUUCCAGGUGUAGCGGUGAAAUGCGUAGAGAUCUGGAGGAAUACCGAUGGCGAAGGCAGCCAUCUGGCCUAAUACUGACGCUGAGGUACGAAAGCAUGUGGAGCAAACAGG